rnacentral:rRNA from 1 species
AACAGGAUUAGAUACCCUGGUAGUCCACGCCCUAAACGAUGUCAACUAGCUGUUGGGGGCUUCGGCCCUUGGUAGCGCAGCUAACGCGUGAAGUUGACCGCCUGGGGAGUACGGUCGCAAGAUUAAAACUCAAAGGAAUUGACGGGGACCCGCACAAGCGGUGGAUGAUGUGGAUUAAUUCGAUGCAACGCGAAAAACCUUACCUACCCUUGACAUGUCCGGAAUGCCGAAGAGAUUUGGCAGUGCUCGCAAGAGAACCGGAACACAGGUGCUGCAUGGCUGUCGUCAGCUCGUGUCGUGAGAUGUUGGGUUAAGUCCCGCAACGAGCGCAACCCUUGUCAUUAGUUGCUACGAAAGGGCACUCUAAUGAGACUGCCGGUGACAAACCGGAGGAAGGUGGGGAUGACGUCAAGUCCUCAUGGCCCUUAUGGGUAGGGCUUCACACGUCAUACAAUGGUCGGGACAGAGGGCAGCCAACCCGCGAGGGGGAGCCAAUCCCAGAAACCCGAUCGUAGUCCGGAUCGCAGUCUGCAACUCGACUGCGUGAAGUCGGAAUCGCUAGUAAUCGCGGAUCAGCAUGUCGCGGUGAAUACGUUCCCGGGUCUUGUACACACCGCCCGUCACACCAUGGGAGUGGGUUUUACCAGAAGUAGUUAGCCUAACCGCAAGGGGGGCGAUUACCACGGUAGGAUUCAUGACUGGGGUGAAGUCGUAACAAGGUAACC